UACGUAGGGUGCAGGCGUUAAUCGGAAUUACUGGGCGUAAAGCGUGCGCAGGCGGUUUGCUAAGACAGGCGUGAAAUCCCCGGGCUUAACCUGGGAACUGCGCCUGUAACUGGCAAGCUAGAGUGUGGCAGAGGGGGGUGGAAUUCCACGUGUAGCAGUGAAAUGCGUAGAGAUGUGGAGGAACACCGAUGGCGAAGGCAGCCCCCUGGGCUAACACUGACGCUCAUGCACGAAAGCGUGGGGAGCAAACAGG
rnacentral:rRNA from 1 species